CCGCAUAAGCGCACAGCAUCGCAUGAUGCAGUGUGAAAAACUCCGGUGGUACAGGAUGGACCCGCGUCUGAUUAGCUAGUUGGUGAGGUAACGGCUUACCAAGGCAACGAUCAGUAGCCGACUUGAGAGAGUGAUCGGCCACAUUGGGACUGAGACACGGCCCAAACUCCUACGGGAGGCAGCAGUGGGGAAUAUUGCACAAUGGGGGAAACCCUGAUGCAGCGACGCCGCGUGAAGGAAGAAGUAUUUCGGUAUGUAAACUUCUAUCAGCAAGGAAGAAAAUGACGGUACUUGACUAAGAAGCCCCGGCUAAAUACGUGCCAGCAGCCGCGGUAAUACGUAUGGGGCAAGCGUUAUCCGGAUUUACUGGGUGUAAAGGGAGCGUAGGCGGUAAGACAAGUCAGAAGUGAAAGGCUGGGGCUCAACCCUGGGACUGCUUUUGAAACUGUCUAACUAGAGUGCAGGAGAGGUAAGUGGAAUUCCUAGUGUAGCGGUGAAAUGCGUAGAUAUUAGGAGGAACACCAGUGGCGAAGGCGGCUUACUGGACUGUAACUGACGCUGAGGCUCGAAAGCGUGGGGAGCAAACAGGAUUAGAUACCCUGGUAGUCCACGCCGU
rnacentral:rRNA from 1 species